rnacentral:snRNA from 1 species
GUGCUUGCUUCAGCAGCACAUAUACUAAAAUUGGAAUGAUACAGAGAAUAUUAGCAUGGCCCCUGUGCAAGGAUGACAUGCAAAUUCACUAAGCUUUCCAUAUUAAA